rnacentral:rRNA from 1 species
AGAUUGAACGCUGGCGGCAUGCCUUACACAUGCAAGUCGAACGGCAGCGCGGGAGCAAUCCUGGCGGCGAGUGGCGAACGGGUGAGUAAUACAUCGGAACGUGCCCAAUCGUGGGGGAUAACGCAGCGAAAGCUGUGCUAAUACCGCAUACGAUCUACGGAUGAAAGCAGGGGACCGCAAGGCCUUGUGCUCCUGGAGCGGCCGAUAUCUGAUUAGCUAGUUGGUGGGGUAAAGGCCCACCAAGGCAACGAUCAGUAGCUGGUCUGAGAGGACGACCAGCCACACUGGAACUGAGACACGGUCCAGACUCCUACGGGAGGCAGCAGUGGGGAAUUUUGGACAAUGGGGGAAACCCUGAUCCAGCAAUGCCGCGUGUGUGAAGAAGGCCUUCGGGUUGUAAAGCACUUUUGUCCGGAAAGAAAACUUCCUGGUUAAUACCUGGGGAGGCUGACGGUACCGGAAGAAUAAGCACCGGCUAACUACGUGCCAGCAGCCGCGGUAAUACGUAGGGUGCGAGCGUUAAUCGGAAUUACUGGGCGUAAAGCGUGCGCAGGCGGUUUGUUAAGACAGUUGUGAAAUCCCCGGGCUCAACCUGGGAACUGCAUCUGUGACUGCAUAGCUGAGUACGGUAGAGGGGGAUGGAAUUCCGCGUGUAGCAGUGAAAUGCGUAGAUAUGCGGAGGAACACCGAUGGCGAAGGCAAUCCCCUGGACCUGUACUGACGCUCAUGCACGAAAGCGUGGGGAGCAAACAGGAUUAGAUACCCUGGUAGUCCACGCCCUAAACGAUGUCAACUAGUUGUUGGGGAUUCAUUUCCUUAGUAACGUAGCUAACGCGUGAAGUUGACC